CCAGGGAAGUAGCCAGGCAAUAGUUCUCAGCAGUCUCUGCUUCCUCUCCAUUCAUUCUCACUCACGACCCACCGGCAGGGAAACAGCUUCUUAUCCUCCUCGUCCCUCUUCUGAAGGACAUUGAUAGCAGCCAAAGGACCGGAGCAAUUCUUUCUGAAGGUGGGGUAGGAGUGAGGAAAUUCAAGAGAAAAAUUCUCCCGAGGCCGUCACCUUCCAGUUGCUGGGAUUGCAGGGAUGAAAACUAAGAACAGCCUUCCUGGAAGCCUGGAGUGAAUGAAUGUGCUGUCUCUUUUUAUCUGACUAGUAAUCCUCGUCAGUACAGACAUGCAUCAGUAUGCCG